UCAGGCCUAACACAUGCAAGUCGAACGGUAACGCGGGGCAACCUGGCGACGAGUGGCGAACGGGUGAGUAAUGCAUCGGAACGUGCCCAAUCGUGGGGGAUAACGUAGAGAAAUUUACGCUAAUACCGCAUGAGAUCUAAGGAUGAAAGCAGGGGAUCGCAAGACCCUGCGCGAUUGGAGCGGCUGAUGUCAGAUUAGGUAGUUGGUGGGGUAAAGGCCUACCAAGCCGACGAUCUGUAGCUGGUUUGAGAGAACGACCAGCCACACUGGGACUGAGACACGGCCCAGACUCCUACGGGAGGCAGCAGUGGGGAAUUUUGGACAAUGGGCGCAAGCCUGAUCCAGCAAUGCCGCGUGCAGGAAGAAGGCCUUCGGGUUGUAAACUGCUUUUGUACGGAACGAAACGGUCCUGGUUAAUACCCGGGGCUAAUGAC
rnacentral:rRNA from 1 species